rfam:Danio rerio chromosome 4, GRCz11 reference primary assembly.
GCUUUUGGCCAUACCAGCCUAGCAAUGCCCGGUCUCAUCUGAACUCGGAAGUAAAGCAGGGUCGGGCCUGGUUAGUACUUGGAUGGGAGACCGCCUGGCAAUACCAGGUGCUGUAAGCU